rnacentral:misc_RNA from 1 species
AGAUACUGAUCCAAUUCUGAUUUCAUGUGUUGGCUAUUUGCAAUCUCAGAGAUGUAUACAUCAAAAUCUGAAAGCCCAUCUCCAAUAGAUAGCAGAGGUAAAUCUUGGUGGUGCCCUUCAUAAGGCAGUAUCUCUCGUGAGAGCUCAUGAUGGUGCAUCUCUUGGGAGAACUCCUGAUGGUGCAUCUCUUGAGUUUCUACUUGUUGAGGAUGCAUCUCUUGACUCAUUACUUCUUGAUGCAGAGUCUCAUGGGUCUCUGCUUCUUGAGGGUGAAUCCUGUGAGUCUCUGUUUCUUGAAGGUGCAUUACAUGAGCAUGUACUUCUUGAGAGUGCACAUCAUGAGUCUGUGCUUCUUGAGGGUGCAUCUCAUGAGUCUCUGCUUCUUGAGGGUGCAUCUCAUGAGUCUGUGCUUCUUGAAGGUGCAUUGCCUGGGUCUGUGCAUCUGGAGGGCACACCUCCUGGGUCUGUGACUCUGUAGGGUUUAUAUCCUGGGUCUGUGAUUCUAUAGGGUGCAUCUCCUUGGUCUCUGAUUCUGUAGGGUGCAUCUCCUGGUUCUGUGAUUCUGCAGGGAGCACCUCCUGGAUCUGUGAUUCUGGAGGGUACAUAUGCUCAGUUUGUGCUUCUGACAAGUGCAUCUCUUGAGUCAACACUUCUUGACUGUGCACUUCUUGAGCCACCACUUCUGGGGGGUGCAUCUCUUGAGUCGGUACUUCUCGAGAAUGC